AAGUUAAAAGAAGAAAAUCCUCCGCUGCACAUAAGACACAUCAUAAACCAGAUGUCCCUGAACCUGGACUUGAAGCUGAACCCAGAUGUGUGUCUGUAAAGAGCGAUCGAUCAAAGGAAGCCAUUGUUGUCUUCAAAGGAAAGGGAUCCCCUGCUGUUGAGAAAGUUGUUCAGUCUGGCUCAGAUGUCUCCUGCCCCCAUCAUGCCCCGCAACAUAAAACUGACCUGAGCCAAAUAUUUAUGGGGCUGGAGGACAACAUUGUCACUUUUGUGAAGAAUGAGCUAAAGAAAAUGCAAAAUCAUCUAAAUGCAGAAUCCCCUGAAAGUCAGAGAGAAGAUGUGAAAAUAUUGGACAGUGAAGACGAGGAGCAGAGGAGGAUCAUUGGAGAGGCACUUCUGCAGAUCACAGUUUAUUUCCUGAGGACAAUGAAACUGGAAGAUCUGGCUGCCUGUCUGGAGAGCAAAAACCCUUAUUCAGGUUGUAGGUGUGAGCUUAAGUCUACCCUAAAGAAGAAGUUCCAGUGUGUCUUUGAGGGGAUUGCUAAACCAGGAAACGCAACCAAUCUGAAUAAGAUCUACACAGAGCUCUGCAUCACAGAGGGAGGGACCGGAGUGGUCAACACUGAACAUGAGGUCAGACAGAUUGAAAUGUUUUCCUGGAAACCAAACAGACCAGAAACAACAAUCAGGUGUGAAGACAUCUUUAAAGCUUCAACUGGAAGAGACAAACCAAUCAGAACAGUUCUGACCAAAGGAGUGGCUGGCAUCGGGAAAACAUUCCUGACACAAAAGUUCACUUUGGACUGGGCUGAAGACAAGACCAACCAGGACAUCCAGUUCAUGUUUCCAUUCUCAUUCAGAGAGCUGAAUUUACUGAAGGAUAAAAAGUUCAGCUUAGUGGGACUUAUUCAUCACUUCUUCACUGAAAUCAAAGAAGCAGGAAUCUGCAACUUUAAAAAGUUCAAAGUUGUGUUCAUCUUUGAUGGUCUGGAUGAGUGUCGACUUCCUCUGAACUUCCACAUCACUGAGAUCCUCACUGAUGUUACAGAGUCCACAUCAGUGGAUGUGCUGCUGACAAACCUCAUCAGGGGAAAGUUGCUUCCUUCUGCCCACAUCUGGAUAACCACACGACCUGCAGCAGCCAACCAGAUCCCUGCUGAGUAUAUAGACAUGGUUACAGAGAUCAGAGGGUUCACUGACCCAAAGAAGGAAGAGUACUUCAGGAAGAGACUCAGAGACAAAGAAGAGGCCAACACCAUAAUCUCUCACAUCAAGACAUCACGAAGCCUCCACAUCAUGUGUCACAUCCCAAUCUUCUGCUGGAUCACUGCUACAGUUCUAGAGAGUUUGUUAAAAACCAAACCGGCUGGAGGGAAGCUGCCCAAGACACUGACUGAGAUGUACAUUCACUUCCUGGUGGUUCAGACCAAAGUGAAGAACAUCAAGCAUGAUGGAGGAGCUGAGACAGAUCCUCUCUGGAGUCUAAAAAGUAAGAAGAUGAUUGAAGCACUGGGGAAACUGGCUUUUCAGCAGCUGCAGAAAGGAAACCUGAUCUUCUAUGAAUCAGACCUGACAGAGUGUGGCAUUAAUGUCAGCGAAGCCUCAGUGUACUCAGGAGUGUUCACACAGAUUUUUAAAGAGGAGGGGGGACUGUACCAAGAGAAGGUUUACUGUUUUGUCCAUCUGAGCAUUCAGGAGUUUUUAGCUGCUCUUCAUGUCCAUCUGACAUUCACCAACUCUGGUAUCAACCUGCUGAAAGAAGAAGAAACAGCCUCAGUGCAGAGUGGAGAAUCUUCAGUAAGACAUUUCUACCAGAGUGCUGUGGACAAGGCCUUAAAGAGUCCAAAUGGACAUCUGGACUUGUUUCUUCGCUUCCUCCUUGGUCUUUCACUGCAGACCAAUCAGGAUCUCUUACAAGGCCUGCUCACACAAACAGGAAACAGCUCACAGAUAAAUCAGGAUAUGGUCAAAUAUGUUAAAGAAAGGAUGAAUGACACUCUCUCUCCUGAGAAAAGCAUUCAUCUGCUCCACUGUUUAAAUGAAUUGAAUGAUGACUCUAUAGUGAAAGAGGUCCAGCAUCACCUGAGUUCAGGACACCUGUCCAAAGUUGAUCUCUCUCCUGCUCAGUGGUCAGCUCUGGUCUUCAUCUUACUGUCAUCAGAAACAGGUGUGGAUGAGUUUGACUUGAGGAAAUAUUCAGCUUCAGAAGCGGCUCUUCUGCAGCUGCUGCCAGUGGUCACAGCCUGUAAGAAAGCCCAGUUGAGUGGCUGUAACCUCACAGAGAGAAGCUGUGAGGCUCUUUCCUCAAUUCUAAGUUCUCAGUCCUCCAGACUGAGAGAGCUGGACAUGAGUAACAACAACCUUCAGGACUCAGGAGUGAAGCUGCUUUGUGUUGGACUUGGGAGUCCACACUGUAUGCUGGAAACUCUCAGGCUGUCAGGCUGUCAGAUCACAGGAACAGGCUUCCCCUCUCUGGACACAGCUGUGCGCUCCAAUCCCUCCUAUUUGAAAGAGCUGGACUUGAGCUAUAAUCAUCCAGGAGACUCAGGAAUGAAGCUUUUGUCUGAUCUAAAGAAGGAUCCACAUGUGAAACUGGACAUACUCUGUGUGGAGCCUCAAGGAGUCCAGUGGAUGAGACCAGGUCUAAGAAAAUAUUUCUGUGAUCUGACGCUGGAUUCAAACACAGCACACAGGAACCUCAAACUGUCUGAUGGAAACAAGGAGGUGACACAUGUGGAAGAAGACCAGCUGUAUCCUCAUCAUGAUCUUAGAUUUAAUCACUGGCUUCAGCUGCUGUGUACCAACAGUCUGACUGGUCGCUGUUACUGGGAGGUCGAGUGGAGAGGAGAGGUUCAUGUUGCAGUAACUUAUGGAGGAAUCAGACGGAGAGGAGAAGAGGAUGAAUGCAGGUUUGGAAGGACUUACCAAUCCUGGAGUCUCUACUGCAGUGAUGACAGGGGUUACUAUGCUAGUCACAAUUACAUAGCAAGAGCCAUCCCUCUGCUCUCCUCACCUCUCUGUCACAAAGUAGCAGUGUAUGUGGACAGUUCUGCAGGAACUGUGUCCUUCUACAGCAUCUCCUCUGAUAAACUGAUCCACCUGCACACCUUCAACACCACCUUCACUGAACCUGUAUAUGCUGGGUUUAGAGUGAAGCCUGACUCUAGUAUCCACCUCUGUGCUGACUCAGAAUAAUGAACUUACUGUGCAGAGUCACAUUGGUGUUUCACACUUUUUCUCACUUAAAUAUUAUGAACCUUAAAUAUAUCAGGUAAACUGUCUGAUACGUUGUACAUAUAUUGGCUUGGUUUGUAGCCCCGAGUUGUUGAAUGAGAUUCUCCUGAAAAAAUCAUCUUAUUGUCUUUGGUGCCUAUUUUUAAGAGCACUUAUCAGUUUCUAUUAUGCGUAACAGUUUAAAUAGGAAAAAUCUGUUGCAUUACUAUUAUCAACUAUUAUAUUUGUUCCAUUAUACACAUUUUAAUAAUGUUUAGACUGAUGGAUGAAAUCCUUGGAACUGAAAAUUUAGACAUUUUAGAUGUUGGUGAGUUAGACUUUGUGAGGAGGAGAGCUGCAGACUUUAGAUUUUGUGUUUAGGAUUAAUUUCUUACAUUGCAUUACUAUACAUUUGUGUUUCUGUCUCUUGUUAUGCAAAUUAAAUAACACUUAACUACAAUUAAUUCCUGGAAAAAGGCGAUAUCACCACCAUGUGACCAGUUUUCAUAACAAUAUAUCCGAAUGGUUCUGGAUCCAAAAAAAAAUGUAUUAAUUUGUGUUGAUCUAAAUGUAGCUUUAACACGAGUGCACCUUAUGGAGGUUGUAACUGGAGGCCUUGGAGACAUCUCUCUUCAUUUCAUGUUCAGUAAAAACAGUCUGACUUAUAGAUGACCUCCAGUCUGUGUUUCUCGACUGAUCUGAGGAGCUUGGAAAGAAAAGCGUCUGGACUUCUUAAAGUUACUACGAUGACUGAGAACCUUCACAGACAUAUUUCUCGACUGAUCAGAAACUGUUUUUCAAUCUCAGAUUUGGUUUUUAUUCUGUGUGAAAAACACAAUCCUGAUUUGUAACAGAAAAGGGAAGGUGAAGACAAA